GUGCUCCUUUUGGUAGCACAUAUCCUAAAUUUAGAGUGAUAUAAAGAAGAUUAGAAUGGCCCCUAGCAAGACUGAUAUGCAAAUUUGCACAGCAUUCCAUAUUUUU
ensembl:snRNA U6 U6 spliceosomal RNA